rnacentral:lncRNA from 1 species
AUUAUUAAACAAAUUGUUUUGAACCGAACCUGACUUGUCGGGUUGAACCGACUCGAAUCCAUGUGGUUGCCGAAUCAAAGCUUGGAGUUGGGCCAAAAAUUCGAUCAUUUGGGCCUGAUUGGCGGGCUGGGCCUGGGAGGCCGACUGGGCUAGAUGGGCCUGAGUGGAGACUAGGCCUAGCCCAGUGGAGAGGUCCAGCCCAUGAAGACUGUGGGUCAAGGGGUCUGGUCGGGUUGCCAGAUUUGGUUUAGUCCGGUCGGGUCUAAACGGGUCGGGUCGGGUUGGUAAAACCCUAGAAAUUCGGGUCGGGGGCAUAUGACGCCCCCAUUCCCAAAUGCACACCCUUUCUAGGGUUUUCCUCCCUUCUCAUCCCGCUCCC